GAUGAAGAACGUAGUGAAAUGCGAUACUUGGUGUGAAUUGCAGAAUCCCGUGAACCAUCGAGUCUUUGAACGCAAGUUGCGCCUCAAGCCAUUAGGUUGAGGGCACGUCUGCCUGGGCGUCACAUAUCGUUGCCUGAUGCCAGUUUCCUCGUGAUGGGUGACUGUGCAGGGCGAAUGAUGGCUUCCCGUGAGCAUUGUUGCCUCAUGGUUGGUUGAAAAUUGAGUCCUUGGUAGGGAGCGCCGUGAUAGAUGGUGGUUGAGUGACGAACGAGACCCAAUCAUGUGAGACCCCUACCGAAUUUGGCCUUCAUGACCCACAUGCGUCUUUGGAACGCUCAUGACGAGACCUCAGGUCAGGCGGGGCUACCCGCUGAGUUUAAGCAUAUCAAUAAGCGGAGCA
rnacentral:misc_RNA from 1 species